GCCUAUUCCUUCUCCCCACCCUUCCACGCGCCCAGCACCCGCUCCCCCGCCGCCACCCGCACGCGCCCAGCUCGCCUGCCGCCGCUCGGCGCGCCUGCAAGCCGUCGCCGCCGCGCGUCCGUCCGACCGACCGCCACCGCGUCCGCCUCAGCUCCCUCCCCCUCGCCGCCUCCCUCUAAUCUCGAACCUAGUAGUGGACGACAAGAAUCGUCGGCGCGGCGCCUCGGCAGAUUCGUCCGCUCCAAGCAGGGGGAUGGCGUCGGCGAUGGCGACGUCGUCGGCGCGGGCGCGCAGGAACUCCUUCACUCACGCCACCGCCGCCAUGACGCCAACUCCUUUACUCAUGCCCCUGACUCUCCUACAGCUGGCUUCGCUCCUGGGCACCUCCUCCGUCGCCAUCCCCCCAGGCUCCUCCGCUCCUGUCCCCAGCUCCUCUGCCGCUGGUGACGCUGAUGAGCACCUCCACUGUUGCCCCCACUCCGGCCUAGGCUCCUCUACGGCCAGCGUCGCUCGCCAUCGGCCCAAGGUUCCUCCACUCUCUACUGCCUCCAUUUUUUUUCAAUUAACUGACAUGCGAAUAGAUCUCACCGUGGCCUGUAGACUCCCGAAAUCUUUUUCUAGAGACUGCAACCUGACAGAUCUGCCACGGUAUUGGAAUCCUUUGGUUGUCUCCAUCCAUUUCUGCAAGGUUUGUUCCUGGAUGCUCUUCGAUUUAGGAACCUGACAGAUCUGCAAAUUUUUACAACAUUGGAACCUUCGUAUAGCUAUGGCUGUGUGACAAUAAAGGUACUUUUUAGAUAGUCAGGCUUUAGGAGUCUUCUUGAUACUGCGAAUGUAUUAGUGUAAUCGAUUUGGUUGUUCAGGUGAUAAAGUUAAAUUUCGUUGUUAAGUUAGUACAGAACUUAAUAGUUUUUUUUACCAUGUAGUCUUUGCCAAAAAAGAAGCCAGACUGCAUAUAAGAUGUUGCAUUAAUUGUGCUAUGCUUAGAGUUGUGUUGCAGUUUGCAAUUAAUCAUGUUGGUGAGUAGGAUGCCAGUCAUUCUUGUCAAUAAAUCCCUGUCACAGGGUAAUACAGAAACUCAGAAAGUUCAGAUCUCUACUUGUAUGAUAACAUUCUGAUAUAUCUUGUAUCUCCAUAGAAGAUUAUCUUGGCUGAAGGGAAAUUAUUUUCAAUAGAUUGGCUCUUUAUUUCUAGUAAUGUGGCCCCGUUUCUAGCGAUUAGAAAUUUGGAUUUUAUCUUGAGUCCCACUUCAUGGUUAUGAAUUAUGGGGUAUACAGGCAGCAAGCAGAAUCGACAAACUAUUUAGAAUUUGUGUGGUCUCAUCGUCCUGAUGGGGCAAGUAUGCAGCAGUUGGUACUGGGUCAUCUUUUCAAAUUCUCUGGAAUUUCUAUAUUGCUGUAGACAACUAUAACUCUGAUACAUUUAACUUAUCAAAAUAUUUGUUUGCAAAUAAAGGACUUGCAGCUUUGAGGGUAAGAUGUAUUUUGUAGUCUGUCUUAUGUUCUUCCUAUUCUUGAUGUGUGGGAAAUAUAUGUUUUUUGUGCGUAGACUACCAGAUUUAUAACUUUAAUUUUCUACAAAUAUGAAUAGAUAAUGGAUUGACAAUUUAGCAACACUGAAUAUUCUUAUUCUUUGUGCUGUCCAAACAAUCUUUUAAAUGUAAACACUUUCUAGACAUCAAUUUUUGUGCGCUUUUGGUUCUAAAAAUACUCUGUUUAGAAUACAGUUCUCAAGUCAAAUAGAGUUCUCAUCUCAAAAUUAGAAUGAAGUUUUUCAUGACAGUCAGUACUCUGUUUCCCUUCUUUUUCCUUCUGGAGUUCAGAAAGGUUUCCCUUCUUUUUCCUGAUCGACACUAGCAGUUCAGAAAAACUUUAUAAACACUUAAUAACAUUUGAACUUGUACAACAGAAAAACUUUUCUGAAAUUCUUCGAUUUUCCUACAAUUGCUCUUAUGGAUCUGUCAAAUAUUCAAACCAUCAAGUUAUUAUACUGCCUUCUAUGAUUACUCAUGAAUCCUUGUUCUGAUAGCUACAAUUUUUAUUCUUCUGGUCUGAAUCUUAUGGAUCCUUACUACUAGUCUGUAAGUAUAUAAGUAGUAUUAGCUAAUUCUUGGUGAACUUUGUUUUUUUACAGAUAUGCACACAUCGGACCAUGCAGAUUUGCAAUGGACCUACAUAAUUGGCCUAGGAUCAGUUGGCCUACAUUGAGCUGAGAGGAAUGGAAGUAGCUAGGAGGUAUAUGUAUAGACAUUUAUUCUAUAAAGCAACCAUUACUUUGUAGUUCUGGAGGAUACUCUAUGCAAUCACUUACAGUUCAACACUGUUGUGUAUUUUGAUCAUGAGAACUUUCUGUAUAUACUGUGAAGUGUGAACUAUGUGUGUACUGGUGUGAAAUAUAUCAUAUUGUGAAACAUGGGAUUCAGAAAUGUACACUGUGGAUCUAGAUUUA